rnacentral:tRNA from 1 species
UCCCUGGUGGCUCAGACGGUGAAGCAUCUGCCUGCAAUGCAGGAAACCCUGGUUUAAUCCCUGGGUUGGGAA